rnacentral:lncRNA from 1 species
GAGAACUUUCUUGAAGCUGUUCUUUAAUCCCAUUCAAUCCAAUAGCAGUGCUGAUUCAGAAACUGCAGGAUGGUAAUCACCUUUGGCAAUGGAUACUUUCCCCUGGCUCAGUGGGAGGGAGUCGCCCCCAUCCUGCUGUCCCGGAGACCACAGGAAAAACUGCGCUCAGGUGUAGAGCCCAAUUAGCAGUCGAAAUGAGCAAUUUCAUCUUUGAAAGAGUUAUUUGUUUACUCAAGACAACCCAGAACUAUAUGAUUUCCAGGAAAAUGUCAUUCGAGAAUUGUGAACUUUGGAAGAAACUGAAACCACUUUUGUCUUUUAAAAGGCACUUAAUAAACUUACAAAUGAAAUGCUAAACAUUCUAUUUCACAUUAAAAUGAAAAAAUAUCCAAAGGAGUAGAAUCCAAUUCAAUGAGGUGAACAUACAUGAUGAAGAUCAUUUGAUUCUGCUGCACUCAGGAUUUAUAUGGUUAUUUGAUAACAUUGUUUAAGAACUACUCAGUCUUAGUGCAAUCCUAUAUGUUGCUUAAAAAUAUAACUUGUAUUAUGUGAGAAAAUAAUUCAUAGCAUUACUAGGAACCAAAAAGACCAAUCAUUAUUAAUUUUUUGAAGAUCAUAUUUUAUUAGAAAAUAGUAAAGCGUGUAUAGCUAUCUUUGUUGUAGAAAAGAUUCUGAAAGUUUAGAGUUUCAUAAGAAAUAAUCAAUAUUAAAACAUUUUUGUCCACACUGAUACUGCAUAUGAAAAGUGCCUUAAUUAUUAGUAAAUCAAUUUAUUAAGAUACCUGUAUCUAUUUUAAAAAUUAUAAAACAAACCAUGCAUCCAUCAUGAAAAAUAAUAGCAGUAAGUCAGAGAUUUACAAUCAUGUAGAAUGUUGCUGAAACUUAUUCCAUACCAUUUUUAGAACUGCAGAAUAUUCUUAUUAUCUCUUUUUUUUGCCAGAAUCGUCAUGUCACGUAUGUAUAUUAUCCCUCUAUAAA